rnacentral:lncRNA from 10 species
CUUGACUCCUAUCUACUGAGAUGUUAAUGCUCACCAAGGUUUCUCCUGCCCUUCCUGGGUGUCUGGAAGAUCACGUUUGCUGCCUGUUGAAUGAGCUGUGUUCAAGUGGCUUCCUUUGAGCAAUAAUGUAUGAGCAGAAGUGAUAUGGGUCACCUCAGGGUGGAGGCUUUUGAGGGUCAUUGUGCAACUCUGCACACCCUUCUCCCCAAGCCAAGCCACAACCGUGAAGUUUUUUUUGUUUUUUUUUUUAUACGAAGUCUCACCCUGUUGCCAGGCUGGAGGGCAAUGACGCGAUCUCGGCUCACUGCAACCUCCGCCUCCCAGGUUCUAGCAAUUCUCCUGCAUCCACCUCCUGAGCAGCUGGGAUUACAGGUACGCACCACCCUGCCCAGCCAAUUUUUGUGUUUUUAGUAGAGACGGGGUUUCACCAUGUUGACCCGCAUGGUCUUGAUUUUUUGACCAAAGAGAUUCUUAUGAUGAGAAAUUCUUAUGGUGGAGCUAAACAAAGCAGCAUGCAAUGAGGAGCCAGCUCAUGGUAGGAUUUGAAAUGAGGAAUUAACAUUUGCAUCUUAAGCCACUGUGAUUUGGAGGUUGUUGCUGUAGCAUUAAUUCCCUAGCUGGUCCUGAUUGAUACAGUUGGGCAUUGG